UUCUGAAAUGUAUCCGUACUCUCGCUCUCUCUCUCUUUCUGUGUCUUUAAAGAAGAAACGGAUCAUAUGACUCUCUCUCUCUCUCUCUCCACAGCUUCUUCUUCUUCUUCUUCUUCUUCUGCAUCUCUCUCUCUCUCUCUUUCUUG
rnacentral:sRNA from 1 species